ACUAACAUACUUCUAUAUUAAAACUAAAUUCUUUUAAAUGAAUAAAAACAAACGGAAGAAAUAAACAAGAAAAUGAUAACCAACGAAAAUAAUAUACUGAUUUUAGAUCUGAAAAUAUCAAACAAAAUACGGAUAGAAAUGAAACUUAGACCAACUAACCGGAUCGAAACAACGACGAACUCGACCGAAAACAGAUCUGCCCGGAAAUUUUGACACCCAAAAUAACUCGAAUCUGCCCGGAAUUUCAACAACGAUCUCGACGAAUCCACGACCAGCUUGGCAACGAUCAUACUAUGUAUGUAUAUAUAUAUAUAUAUGGACAGCUUAUAUUCAUAUACAUACAUACAUACAUACAUACAUACAUAUAUAUAUAUAUAUAUAUANNNNNNNNNNNNNNNNNNNNNNNNNNNNNNNNNNNNNNNNNAUACAUACAUAUAUAUAUAUAUAUAUAUAUAUAUAUAUAUAUAUAUACACACGCACACAUAUGUGUGGACGUGGGUGGGGGUUUGGUGUGGUGAGUUCGUGGUUAUUCAUGGCUAUGGAGAUGCUGGUUAUCGUUUAGACGUGACGACGAUGAACGAUGAUGGCUGUUUUGGUGAGCGAGAUGGUGGUUUUGAUUGAAGACGAUAAGGGGUCGUUAAUGGGGAAGAAACGAUGGGGCGGUACUUUGCUGGUUUAGCGAUGAUGGACGACGUGAAGGCUGAGAAGGCUGUCAUUCGUGGCUGGACGUAGCAGAAGCGAUGGGGCUUGCUGUUGGUCGUCCUUGGAGCUGCUAGUCGUGGGAUGCAAUGCUGUGGACGGGUGGACAUGGCUGGAGUUCGAGGUCCGACGUUAAUGGAGGUUAUGAAGGCAACCGUUGCAGUUGGAUCGCCGGAAAAGAAGCAGACGAAGCAGCAGCUGUGGGGGACGAGUGGUCGUUGGCAUUUGGUUGGGUGGUUUGAAGAAGAAGAGAAGAGGGGGGGUCCUUGAGUGUGGCGGCUGGGGUUUGAGAGGAUUAGGAUUUUUUUGUGUUAGGGUGUGUAAGGAAAAUGAAAAUGAAAAUGAAAAUGAGGAGGAGAGUGUCAUUUGGGUUAUGGGAUAGACUGGGUCGG
rnacentral:lncRNA from 1 species